rnacentral:rRNA from 1 species
UGAGGAAUAUUGGUCAAUGGCGGCAACUCUGAACCAGCCAAGUCGCGUGAAGGAUGAAGGUCUUAUGGAUUGUAAACUUCUUUUGCAAGGGAAUAAAGUGGGGGACGUGUCCUCCUUUGCAUGUACCUUGCGAAUAAGGAUCGGCUAACUCCGUGCCAGCAGCCGCGGUAAUACGGAGGAUCCGAGCGUUAUCCGGAUUUAUUGGGUUUAAAGGGUGCGCAGGCGGGAUGUUAAGUCGGCGGUGAAAUUUUGCAGCUCAACUGUAAAAGUGCCUUCGAUACUGGCUUUCUUGAGUGUGGAUGAAGUAGGCGGAAUUUGUGGUGUAGCGGUGAAAUGCUUAGAUAUCACGAGGAACUCCGAUUGCGCAGGCAGCUUACUAAACCACUACUGACGCUCAUGCACGAAGGCGUGGGGAUCAAACA